CCGAACCAAAUCCAAGUCCCUUCUCGUGUUUUCUUGUUCUGUACAAUAGAAUUAGGAAAAAUCGUUUCCGAUUCGGAAAAAAAGGCGGCAUUCCCAAAAUUUCAAGUUUCCCUUGAUAGAUGUAGGAGGAGGUUCAUCCACAACAAGUUCGUUAUUUCUUCUUCCACCUGGUUGUCGAUUUUACCCUUCUGACCAGGAGCUUCUAAAACAUUAUCUGACCGGGAAAAACAGGUGCCUCGCCGCCGACCCUGCUGAUGCAUACGGAUACGAUUUGAUCAGGAAACUCAAUUUGUAUGAUUACGAACCAUCUUAUUUGCCGGAAAUAGUAAAGGAGGGAGGAGAAGGAGAAGGGUAAAGGGAGGGUUUUGGUGGGAAAUAGGAAAAUUUAGGGAUGUGUUUGAUGGAGGAAAUGUAGCAUUGGGGACUAGAACUAAAUUUGUAUUUUAUGAGAUUAAUUCAGUCAAGGCUGCUGUUAGGACUCCUUGGAUUAUGUAUGAAUAUGAACUUCUUCACCAUCCCAAGAUUUAAUUGUCCUCUCCAUCCUCCAAAAAAAUCAUCCCCUUUUUGUUGUUUUAGUUUGUAUUUUAUUGCAUAUCACUUAAGUGCUCUAAAGCGCAUAGCCCGCCCCCAACCCUUUUUUGAUUCUUAAAUUGUCUGUGACUUCUUUCACCAGACACUUGCUGUGGGACAAAAGGAAUUUUUAAACUAACUUCAUGUUUUCCAAAAUUUCAGUAUGUUAAUUGUGCUCCCACUUGGUUGUACGUGGCUCACCAUGGUUCAGUAGGUUAAUUGUUCAUUGUAGUAAUCACUUGGGAGUUAGGUCGUAUGUUCUGUUGGUGAGUCAAAUAUUUGCAACAGGAUUUGGUUUCUAAAGAGCCACAUAAAAAUUAUUUCAUUGUUGUUUUUCUUUGUCAAUUGUAGUAGAACCGACCCGUGUAGAUUGGAAUAUUCCGGGCCCUCAAUAAAGUAACUUUCUACAAAUGUUGUAGUGAAAUCUUAGUAAGUUCUUGCUUGUGUAUAUAGUUUUUCGAAAAUAUGAGCUUUUCCAUAAUUUAAUAAGCUUGUCUGUGAGAUAUACUGUGCGGAACAUGUGAACUUAUGUUUAGAUUGGUUUCAUUGGUGGGGAGGGUCUGGGACUGUUACCUCCUUGAAAGUGAUGUCUCUAUCAUCUGCAGGCUUCUUUUUGUACUAUGCCGAGUAUUCUUCAAAUCUCGUGCUAGAAAUAGUGUAUCAGAGAAUGUUUUAAGUUGUGCAGAAGAUACUGUUUCUGCCAUACCUCACAUCGGUAAUCAGCAUGAUGGAUUUCUUCGGCCUGAUACUCUUGAAGUUGAAAUCAAUGAUGAUAACUUCAAUAAAGAGCUAGACAAUCCAAUAGCAAGUACACCUGUUUCUGUUGCAAGUUUUAAGUUUCCUUCAAGCAUCCCACCAGACCCGCCCAAUGAUUUGGUAAUCUAGAUUGAGCAUGUUUCUUUCUUUUGUCAUGUAAGUUACAUUACGGCCAAUUUCUUUUUCCAUUUAGUACAUACUUUUAUUGGUGAUACCAGACAUGGCUUUUGUGUUUUUCCUUUUCUAACAAAGCUUGCAUGUAUUUCAAAUAACUUCAAUUUUUCUAAUGUAUGUACCAAUAAGCCCUCAGUUCUUUUCAUAACAAUAAAAUUGCAAAACUUU